UGUAAUAGGGUGUCAAUUGAUGAUCUGGGUUGAUAAAUCAUGAAUCCAUAACAUCAAAGUGCACGAAUUUGAAGAUUUAAGCAAGUUGGAAAAACCGAAUUCUGUUAUUUUUCACCAAAUAUCAGAGGCCAUAAAUAUUUGCUCGAUCAUGAGUUUUGUUGUUUAAAAGUUGUUAUGUGUAGCCUGAUAUGUUGUCUUUAAGCUCCAAAAAGAAUAAGGUCCAUAUCUAUUGUGGAUCAAAAGUUAUUGAUGGUCAAAGUGCAUUGACCGAUCAUGAAACUGAUUCUGGAAAACCCAGAAAAAGUUCUAAGUGUCCAGAAAAUAUUUUUUUAGCAAAUGUCCGGCCUUGUAGAUCUCAGUAUGUUUGGAGUUUUCAUGUUAUGAAAGUUGAUAUGUGUAUUCUGGUAUGUGGUCUUUAAUCUCCAAAAAGAAUCAGGUCCAUAUCUGUUAU
rnacentral:lncRNA from 1 species